rnacentral:rRNA from 1 species
UACGUAGGGUGCGAGCGUUAAUCGGAGUUACUGGGCGUAAAGCGUGCGCAGGCGGUUCGUUGUGUCGGCGGUGAAAGCCCCGGGCUUAACCUGGGAAUGGCCGUUGAAACUGGCGAACUGGAGUGUGGCAGAGGGGGGUGGAAUUCCGCGUGUAGCAGUGAAAUGCGUAGAGAUGCGGAGGAACACCGAUGGCGAAGGCAGCCCCCUGGGCUAACACUGACGCUCAGGCACGAAAGCGUGGGGAGCAAACAGG